ACGCACGCUGGCGGCGUGCUUCACCCCUGCCAGUCGCACGCUGAAGCUUGGUGCUUGCACUGGGUGGAUGAGUGGCGAACGGGUGAGUAAUACGUGAGUAACCUGCCCUUGACUCUGGGAUAAGCCUGGGAAACUGGGUCUAAUACUGGAUAUGACAUGCCACUGCAUGGUGGUGUGUGGAAAGGGUUUUACUGGUUUUGGAUGGGCUCACGGCCUAUCAGCUUGUUGGUGGGGUAAUGGCCUACCAAGGCGACGACGGGUAGCCGGCCUGAGAGGGUGACCGGCCACACUGGGACUGAGACACGGCCCAGACUCCUACGGGAGGCAGCAGUGGGGAAUAUUGCACCAUGGGCGGAAGCCUGAUGCAGCGACGCCGCGUGAGGGAUGACGGCCUUCGGGUUGUAAACCUCUUUCAGCACGGAAGAAGCGAGAGUGACGGUACGUGCAGAAGAAGCGCCGGCUAACUACGUG
rnacentral:rRNA from 1 species